UAAGGACAAGAAGACCCUAAGAAUUUUAAAAAUUUCAAUAAAAUGCUGUAUUUUAUUGAAAUUUUUUAAUUGGGGCGAUUAUUAAAUAUUAAAAACUUUAAUUUUUUUAAAAAAGAACCAAUAAUAUUGGUUAUUUGAAAAAAUACUCUAGGGAUAACAGCGUAAUAAUUUUUGAUAGUUCUUAUAGACAAAAUAGUUUGCGACCUCGAUGUUGGAUUAGGAUUCUUUUUUAAUGAAGAAGUUAAAAAAAGAAGUUUGUUCAACUUUUAAAAUCCUACUUGAUCUGAGUUCAGACCGG
rnacentral:rRNA from 1 species